UACGUAGGGGGCAAGCGUUGUCCGGAUUUAUUGGGCGUAAAGGGCGCGUAGGCGGCCCGGCGCGUCAUGCGUGAAAUCUCCCGGCUCAACUGGGGAGGGUCACGCGAUACUGAUCGACUCGAAGGCAGGAGAGGGUAGUGGAAUUCCCGGUGUAGUGGUGAAAUGCGUAGAUAUCGGGAGGAAGACCAGUGGCGAAGGCGGGUCUCUGGACAGUUCCUGACACUGAGGCACGAAGGCCAGGGGAGCAAACGGG
rnacentral:rRNA from 1 species